UGGGGAAUAUUGCACAAUGGGGGAAACCCUGAUGCAGCGACGCCGCGUGAGCGAAGAAGGUUUUCGAAUCGUAAAGCUCUGUCCUAUGGGAAGAUAAUGACGGUACCAUAGGAGGAAGCCCCGGCUAACUACGUGCCAGCAGCCGCGGUAAUACGUAGGUCCCGAGCGUUGUCCGGAUUUAUUGGGCGUAAAGCGAGCGCAGGCGGUUAGAAAAGUCUGAAGUGAAAGGCAGUGGCUCAACCAUUGUAGGCUUUGGAAACUGUUUAACUUGAGUGCAGAAGGGGAGAGUGGAAUUCCAUGUGUAGCGGUGAAAUGCGUAGAUAUAUGGAGGAACACCGGUGGCGAAAGCGGCUCUCUGGUCUGUAACUGACGCUGAGGCUCGAAAGCGUGGGGAGCGAACAGG
rnacentral:rRNA from 1 species